GGCUUCCGGCCCCACCCGCCACCCAUUUUUGUUUACCUUGUUUCUGCUGUUCUGGCCUCAGCGGUGCCUACCAUCUGACUGGACCUGAGCUCAUUUGCACGCAGAAAUCAUUUUCCUGCCUUUGGUUCAGGGAGACAGGAGUUUCUCCAACAACAUCCUGAUGUUGGUGAGUUGUUCCAUUAAGUCCACACACAUGUAAGCUGCCAACGGGGCAAAUAUGGGAAAGAGCAAGGACAUCUCCAACUUCUUCUCAUCAAACUGCAUCAACAGCAACCAGGAGCUGCAGGGAGGAGCAACAGCAGCCUUGUUCUUUCUUGGAGCCUCCCUCAACAUUCUCCGGGGUCUGGCACUUAUUUCCUCUCCAGAGUCUUCAGAAUUAAUGUAUGUGCAGCUGGCAAAGAGCCCCUCCCAGAGCCUACACCAGGCAAAUAGUAUGCUGCUGUGGACAAUAUGAAUCAGCCCCAUAUCCUACACCUGAAAUAAAAACAAAAACAUGUUUACACCCAAAAUAGUUGUGACAUACCAUGCAAAUGCUAGAGACUGAACCCAGGUCCUCUGGCAAAGCAGCCAACGAGUGCUCUUAACUACCAACUCAUCUUUUUACUUCCUGUAUUAGUUAUUUAAAGGGGCUCUGUUCAUUCAGACCUCUAUUAUAAGAAGCUUUAUGAAUGUUAUUAACAUAAUACACAAUUACAUGUAUUUAUGUACAUAUAUACAUAUUAUAUACAGACUGUGCUGUGAAUGCAGAAGUGAAAAGUAAUUAGUGAUUGGAAAGUCAUGAGGACUCAGUAGGUUGAGUGCUUGCUUACCACAUAUGAAGUACUGUGCUUGAUCACCAGAAUCAUAUAAACUAAGUGGAGUGGCAUGCCUGGAAUCUCAGCCCUUGGGAGUUGAAGGCGGAAGAACAAAAGUGUAGGGUUACCUGGUCUACAUCGUAAGUUUAAGACCAGCCUAUCUCAAAAAAAAAAAAAAAAUCACAUAUGCACAUUUUUAUUCUUUGGAUAUUGGCCAAGUAGAUAUUUAUUCAAUUAUUACUCAAAGUAACAAAAAUAAAAUGAUAGUAAGGCAACACUGAAGGAUAAUAUGAUGACAGAUAAUAAAUCCAAAGUUGACAGAGAGGGGCUGGAGAGAUGGCUCAGGAGUUAAGAGCACUUGCUGCUCUUUUAGAGGACUCAGGUUCGUUUCCCAACACCCACGUGGCUGCUUGCAAUGGUUUAUAACUCCAGUUCUAGGGGAUUCACUACCCUCUUCUAGCCUCCAAGGGUAUUGCACACAUGUUGUACUCAUAUACAUAGAUACAUACAAAUAUAUAUAUAUAUAUAAAAGCAAAACACUUAUACAUUUAGACUGAUUAAGUUUUUAAAAAUUAACAAAGAAAUAUGACACUUUAAACCUUGCUGUACAAAAUGGAGUCACGUUGUUAGUCUGCAAAAGUUACUGCCGUUGUUGGAUGUUUAAAAUACAAGAUUCUUCUUGUUAUUGUUGUUUUUUGAGACAGGGUUUCUCUGUGUAGCCUGAGCUGCCCUGGACUCGAUUUCUAGACCAGGCUGGCCUCAAACUCACAGAGAUCCUCCUGCCUCUGCAUCUCUGAGUACUGGGAUUAAAGGGGUGCCCCACCACACCCGGCAGAGGUUCCUUUUUUAAUAAAGACAUUAUUAUAAGUUAAUUUAGUUCAAAUCUUGUGUUAAAUAACCUGAGCUUUUUUGUGAAAGAAAAAAAGUAUUAUAAGUUUAAAAAGUCCCACAUAAUGAAGACUCCUAUAGGAAAUUAAUAACAAAUAUAUCUAAAGUCUUACAAAAAAAACCCCAAAACAUAUUGUUUGCAUUGCAUUUCAAACUGUAAUAACUGGGAUGAAGGCAUCAUGCUAUCUUUAAAAUGGAAAUUAAUAAAACAAUUUAAUUUAUUUGCAGACCCUUUUUCAGGUACUGAGGAUUGAAUCUAGGGCCUCAUGCAUGCUAGGCCCUACAUGCUAAGAGCUAUGUCUGUAGCCUUAAUUCAUUUCAUCAGCUUUAAAAAAUUGAUUCAUGUAUUAUUUUUAUGUGUAUGGCUGUUUGUCUGCAUGUAUGUUUGUAUAGCAUAUGUGUGCCUAGUGCCCACAGAAGUCAGAAGGGAGCAAUGAAACCUCUGAAACUGGAGUCAUGGAUAGUCAUGAGGUGUCAUGUGAGUGAUAGAAGUUGAACCCAUGUCCCCAGAAAGAGAAGCCAGUGUUUUAAACCACUGAUUCAUCUCUCCAGUUCUUUACAAAACAAUAUUGGA